rnacentral:rRNA from 1 species
GAUGAACGCUGGCGGCGUGCCUAAUACAUGCAAGUCGAGCGAACAGAUAAGGAGCUUGCUCCUUUGACGUUAGCGGCGGACGGGUGAGUAACACGUGGGUAACCUACCUAUAAGACUGGGAUAACUUCGGGAAACCGGAGCUAAUACCGGAUAACAUUUGGAACCGCAUGGUUCUAAAGUGAAAGAUGGUUUUGCUAUCACUUAUAGAUGGACCCGCGCCGUAUUAGCUAGUUGGUAAGGUAACGGCUUACCAAGGCAACGAUACGUAGCCGACCUGAGAGGGUGAUCGGCCACACUGGAACUGAGACACGGUCCAGACUCCUACGGGAGGCAGCAGUAGGGAACCUUCCGAAAUGGGCGAAAGCCUGACGGAGCAACGCCGCGUGAGUGAUGAAGGGUUUCGGCUCGUAAAACUCUGUUAUUAGGGAAGAACAAACGUGUAAGUAACUGUGCACGUCUUGACGGUACCUAAUCAGAAAGCCACGGCUAACUACGUG